UACGGAGGAUGCGAGCGUUAUCCGGAUUUAUUGGGUUUAAAGGGAGCGUAGACGGGUUUUUAAGUCAGCUGUGAAAGUUUGGGGCUCAACCUUAAAAUUGCAGUUGAAACUGGAGACCUUGAGUGCGGUUGAGGCAGGCGGAAUUCGUGGUGUAGCGGUGAAAUGCUUAGAUAUCACGAAGAACCCCGAUUGCGAAGGCAGCCUGCUAAGCCGCCACUGACGUUGAGGCUCGAAAGUGCGGGUAUCAAACAGG
rnacentral:rRNA from 1 species